UCAAAGAUAGCUCAGUCAGUAAAGCAUGAGACUCUUAAUCUCAGGGUUGUGGGUUCAAGCCCCACAUUGGGCAAAA